AGAGUUUGAUCCUGGCUCAGGAUGAACGCUGGCGGCGUGCCUAAUACAUGCAAGUCGAGCGAACUGAUUAGAAGCUUGCUUCUAUGACGUUAGCGGCGGACGGGUGAGUAACACGUGGGCAACCUGCCUGUAAGACUGGGAUAACUUCGGGAAACCGAAGCUAAUACCGGAUAGGAUCUUCUCCUUCAUGGGAGAUGAUUGAAAGAUGGUUUCGGCUAUCACUUACAGAUGGGCCCGCGGUGCAUUAGCUAGUUGGUGAGGUAACGGCUCACCAAGGCAACGAUGCAUAGCCGACCUGAGAGGGUGAUCGGCCACACUGGGACUGAGACACGGCCCAGACUCCUACGGGAGGCAGCAGUAGGGAAUCUUCCGCAAUGGACGAAAGUCUGACGGAGCAACGCCGCGUGAGUGAUGAAGGCUUUCGGGUCGUAAAACUCUGUUGUUAGGGAAGAACAAGUACGAGAGUAACUGCUCGUACCUUGACGGUACCUAACC
rnacentral:rRNA from 1 species